rnacentral:rRNA from 1 species
GGAGUUGACGGGGCCCGCACAAGCAGCGGAGCAUGUGGUUUAAUUCGAAGCAACGCGAAGAACCUUACCUAGACUUGACAUCUCCUGAAUUACCCGUAACUGGGGAAGCUCUUCGGAGCAGGAAGACAGGUGGUGCAUGGUUGUCGUCAGCUCGUGUCGUGAGAUGUUGGGUUAAGUCCCGCAACGAGCGCAACCCUUAUCGUUAGUUGCUACCAUUAAGUUGAGCACUCUAGCGAGACUGCCCGGGUUAACCGGGAGGAAGGUGGGGAUGACGUCAAAUCAUCAUGCCCCUUAUGUCUAGGGCUACACACGUGCUACAAUGGUGAGGACGAAGAGACGCAAGACCGCGAGGUGGAGCAAAUCUCACAAACCUCAUCCCAGUUCGGAUUGCAGGCUGAAACUCGCCUGCAUGAAGCCGGAGUUGCUAGUAAUCGCGAAUCAGCAUGUCGCGGUGAAUACGUUCCCGGGCCUU